CUACGGGUGGCUCCAGUAGAGAAUAUUGCGCAAUGGACGAAAGUCUGACGCAGCAACGCCGCGUGGGUGAUGAAGCAUCUUGGUGCGUAAAACCCUGUCAGUGGGGAAGAACCGCAUAGGAAGUAACUGUCCUGUGCCUGACGGUACCCACAGAGGAAGUCCCGGCUAACUCCGUGCCAGCAGCCGCGGUAAUACGGGGGGGACAAACGUUGUUCGGAUUUACUGGGCGUAAAGGGUGCGUAGGCGGACUUUCAAGUCGGAUGUGAAAACUAUAGGCUCAACUUAUAGCCUGCAUCCGAUACUGUUGGUCUUGAGUAUAUCAGAGGAAAGCGGAAUUCCAGGUGUAGCGGUGAAAUGCGUAGAUAUCUGGAAGAACACCAGUAGCGAAGGCGGCUUUCUGGGGUAAUACUGACGCUGAAGCACGAAGGCUAGGGGAGCAAACAGGAUUAGAUACCCGCGUAGUC
rnacentral:rRNA from 1 species